CUGGACUUUGAUAUCUAGACUAUGUCUAGGACUGUUGACCCAGGCUCGAAUCCUUCUCUUUCUCCAGAGGUUUAUGUCUUGAUGAGAACCAGGGUAAGGAGACUGUAGACCUAAGUGACUUUGAGGCUUGAACUCAGCUUUGGGGUUGGGUAUUUUGCCUUUGGGAACAGUGCUUCUGACCCUCUCACGUGCGCACAAAUCGCCUGGGGGUCUUGCUCUUGGUUUCCCACUUAGUCCUUGCAUCUUCCUGACCUUCCUGCCCUUGUUUCCCAUUUCUGCCACCAUGCUAGUCCCGUGGCCUUGAUGACAGAGUUUGACAUUUCUAGCUUUGACACUUGGCACCCAAAGGAUACUUAUUCCCUCGUUUUCAGCUCUUUCUACUCUAGAUCAUUCUGGGGUCUCUCACUCACUGAACCCCAGCCUGCAAUGACCUCAUGCCAAUGUCAGGUGGACUGGCCAGCUCUGCUUGGCCCUGUUCCCUCAGGGAGGAUUGGAUAGUGGUGCAUGAUAAUAAAAAUGGUGAUGAUUUAUAUUAGUUGAGCCCUUACUAUCGUCUUGAGUGGUUUAAAUGGAUUGUGUCAUUUUAUUUUAAUUGCAAAUCUGCAAAGUUUCCUCACUUCGUUUUGGAGGUGAGGAAAGUAGGGCUCAGUGAGGUUAAACUCAAAACCACACAUGUAGUUGAAGGGGAUCAGAAUAUGCUACCCCCAAGUAGGCCAAUUUGGCAUAAGGAUUAUUUUGAGUUGAAGGCAAUUGAGAAUCAGCAGAUGCAGGAAGAAUUCCCUGCCCUCUCUUUAUCUGCCUAAGAGCAGGGCAUUUCCCUUUGUGAAGGUGGCCUCCCAUGCCACCGGGAAGGGAAGAAAAAGAUGAGGAGUUGACAUCAAGAGAGGCUUGCACAAAGAGAACUUAAUAAAAUAACUUAUCUUCCACUGGUUCCCAAAUAUAUUUCCUGGUCGUUUCCCCAUGAUUGAUCCUCUCUUGAAACCCAAACCCCCUUUCUUUUGUUAAAACAGUAUAUAAGCUUCUGAGUCUGACCACUCUUCUGAGUUUCACUUCUUUUCUGUGAACUUCUAUGCAUAAAAAUAUUAACAAAAGUUAAUACUUUGUUCUGUUAAUCUGUCUUUUGUUGGUGUAAGUCACAGGCCCUAGGCACUGAACCUAAGAGGGUACAAGAAAAUUUUUUCUCCCCAACAUGGUACAUGUGAUUCAGUUCAUGGUCCCCAGGAGAAUCUUCUCCUGCUUUGGUAGCACCUGUCUUCUCUCUCCCCUGCCCCUGCCACUGCCUUAACCCAGACUCUCACCAGCUCAUUCAACUAUAAAUGCAGGAGUUUCCCAAUGGCUCAGUGUCCCCGCCCUCAGGCCCUUUUCCUUUGAUCCACUCUCCACACUGCUGCCAGGGAGCUUGCCAGAAGGCAGGUCUGAGCGUGCUGUGCCGCCAGUCUCCUCUGUGAAGGCCUUCAGCGGCUCUUCCCAUCAAUGGGAGAAAGUCCCCAUACCUGUCCCACUCUUACCAGACUUCCUUUCUCGGAACGUUCUGGGCUCCUUUGACACAUGCUUUCUCUCCUGUCCAGAUUUUCCUCUCUCAAACUUGGCCAUCUUCACAGAUGAUCUAUUGAACUCACCUUUCCAGGCUCGUGUUGAACAGUACUUCUUCUGUGAGACGUCUCCCAGGGGAGAGUCGGGGCCUGGUGAAUGGGCAAAAGAAAAUGAAAAGAAAAAAAGUCAUUGCAAGAGUCACACGCUGGCACAAUGUGCAUGGACACCUGAGAAGGAGAGGGGCAAGGAAAACCACUCUUUCUCAAAAAACUGUCUACCAGCUUUUGAAUUUCUUCUUGCCUGAAGUGUUCUUUCUUUCUUUCUUUUUUUGGUGAGGAAGACUGGUCCUGAGCUAACAUCUGUUGCCAAUCCUCCUCUUUUUGCUUGAGGAAGAUUGUCCCUGAGCUAAUAUCUGUGCCAGUCUUCCUCCAUUUUUUUAUAUGUGGGACACCGCCACAGCAUGGCUUGACGAGCAGUGCGUAGGUCUGAACCCAGGAACCCCCCCCACAGC
ensembl:lncRNA